rfam:Gossypium arboreum cultivar AKA8401 contig_80230_1, whole genome shotgun sequence.
CCUAGGGGAGUGUUUUGUCCACGUCAGCACAAAGCGCUUCCUUGAGGGCGCACUUUGUGCUGACGUGGACAAAACGCUCCCCUAAGG